AACGCACAUUGCGCCCUCCCUAACCGGGGGGCAUGCCUGUCUGAGCGUCACUUGAUAUCCAUAAGCCAUAGCUGGUUUGUCCUGGGCCUUGCCAUAUUUGGGGGCAUUGCCUUGAAGGAAUCAGUCUCUUGAGCGGACAGGAUCCUGUAGGGCUGACCGUUCUCUGACUCUAAAGAUCUAAGUGUUGACCUCAGAUCAGGCAGGACCACCGCCUGAACUUAA
rnacentral:misc_RNA from 1 species